AGAAUCAACGCUGGCGGCGUGCCUCAGACAUGCAAGUCGAACGCGAAAGUCUCCUUCGGGGGACAAGUAGAGUGGCGCACGGGUGAGUAACACGUAGGUAAUCUACCUUCGGGUGGGGAAUAACAACCGGAAACGGUUGCUAAUACCGCAUAAUGCAGCGGCACCUAAUGGUGACAGUUGUUAAAGCGGGGGAUCGCAAGAUCUCGCGCCUGAAGAGGAGCCUGCGGCGGAUUAGCUAGUUGGUAGGGUAAUGGCCUACCAAGGCGACGAU
rnacentral:rRNA from 1 species